UACGUAGGGUGCGAGCGUUAAUCGGAAUUACUGGGCGUAAAGCGUGCGCAGGCGGUUGUGCAAGACAGAUGUGAAGUCCCCGGGCUCAACCUGGGAACUGCAUUUGUGACUGCACGGCUGGAGUGCGGCAGAGGGGGAUGGAAUUCCGCGUGUAGCAGUGAAAUGCGUAGAUAUGCGGAGGAACACCGAUGGCGAAGGCAAUCCCCUGGGCCUGCACUGACGCUCAUGCACGAAAGCGUGGGGAGCAAACAGG
rnacentral:rRNA from 1 species